GGGAGUGUAGCCCGGGGUAGAGCAUUUAACUGCAGAUCAAGAGGUCUCUGGUUCAAAUCUAGGUGCCCCUU
rnacentral:tRNA from 1 species